rnacentral:rRNA from 1 species
CGAGGGACGGCGCCGCCCCGGGGCUCGUGAUAUCUUAUCUCGCCGCCCGUCGCGAGGCGGACGGAGGGAUGGAUGAGGUUACCUGGAAAAAAUCGGGGCGAUCUAGGCGGGCGAACCUCGCCAACGAACGAUCGGACAUGGGAUAACGGAAGAGGGCGUCGGCUCGACUUCGUCGGUUCCUCGGGCCGAGGCACGUACGGUGAAUAGGGACGGUCGGGGCCGCCCGUACCGGGUCGUGAGAGGUGAAAUUCUAGGAUCGACCCGAGACGAACUGCCGCGAAAGCAUUCGGCAAGGACGCUUUCAUUAAUCAAGAACGAAAGUCGGGGGAUCGAAGACGAUCAGAUACCGUCGUAGUCCCGACCGUAAACGAUGCCGACCGAGGGCCCCGGAGGAGUUACGUACGACCCUCCGGGCCCUCCCGCGAGAAAUCAGGAGUAUUCGGGUUCCGGGG